rnacentral:rRNA from 1 species
CGAACGGCGGCACGGGAGCAAUCCUGGUGGCGAGUGGCGAACGGGUGAGUAAUACAUCGGAACGUGCCCUGUAGUGGGGGAUAACUAGUCGAAAGACUAGCUAAUACCGCAUACGACCUGAGGGUGAAAGUGGGGGACCGCAAGGCCUCAUGCUAUAGGAGCGGCCGAUGUCUGAUUAGCUAGUUGGUGGGGUAAAGGCCUACCAAGGCGACGAUCAGUAGCUGGUCUGAGAGGACGAUCAGCCACACUGGGACUGAGACACGGCCCAGACUCCUACGGGAGGCAGCAGUGGGGAAUUUUGGACAAUGGGGGCAACCCUGAUCCAGCAAUGCCGCGUGUGUGAAGAAGGCCUUCGGGUUGUAAAGCACUUUUGUCCGGGAAGAAAUCGCACCUGAUAAUACCGGGUGUGGAUGACGGUACCGGAAGAAUAAGGACCGGCUAACUACGUGCCAGCAGCCGCGGUAAUACGUAGGGUCCAAGCGUUAAUCGGAAUUACUGGGCGUAAAGCGUGCGCAGGCGGUUGUGCAAGACCGAUGUGAAAUCCCCGGGCUUAACCUGGGAAUUGCAUUGGUGACUGCACGGCUAGAGUGUGUCAGAGGGGGGUAGAAUUCCACGUGUAGCAGUGAAAUGCGUAGAGAUGUGGAGGAAUACCGAUGGCGAAGGCAGCCCCCUGGGAUAACACUGACGCUCAUGCACGAAA